rnacentral:misc_RNA from 1 species
AACCUAGCACACCUGCGGUGUGUACCUGCGGAGGGAUCAUUAUUGAUUUUACUUGGAUGUGCUGGCCCUCGUCUUUUCGGAGGGGGGGGGCAUGUGCACUCCAUCCCAAUCCCAAUAUCAUCCACCUUUGUGCACUCCCCAGUAGGCACCGAGACCUUGCCGGUCUUCUUGUCUAUGUACCUUUUACGCACGCUUUUUUCUGAAUUAUUGGAAUGCAAUGCAUAUAUACUUGACACAACU